rnacentral:rRNA from 1 species
ACGCUCGACACCUACUGGAGGCAGCAGUGGGGAAUAUUGGGCAAUGGGCGAAAGCCUGACCCAGCAACGCCGCGUGAGGGAAGAAGGUUUUCGGAUUGUAAACCUCUGUCCUCAGGGACGAAGGACGUGACGGUACCUGAGGAGGAAGCCCCGGCUAACUACGUGUCAGCAGCCGCGGUAAUCUGAGCGGGCUGGCAAGGC